AUCAGGUUAGAACUUAGUUAAUCAGACUGAGAUUUCCAAAGUGGGAGUUAGGACUGCCAGUGGUGCAUGGAAGAGUCUGAGAAAAUGCUGUCCUCUUACCUUAGAUAAACAUGUCUGUGACGUGUAAUGGGAUCCAUCCUGAUAAUAUGAAGGAGUAUGGGCAGUUUAUUCUAGAAAUCAAGGUCUGGGCUUCCCAAAUAGAGUGAGCAGUAUGGAAGCUUCUGGAGGACUGCUCCUUCUAUCACCAUAAAGCAGCAUAAAACAGAUCAAAUUGGAGAACACUUGUAUCUACAAAAAGCCAAGCUGUCAACAUUAGACAGAUCAAUGAGACAGAAAGUUAACAAGGAUACCCAGGAAUUGAACUCAGCUCUGCAGCAAGUGGACCUAAUAGACAUCCACAGAACUCUCCACCCCAAAUCAACAGAAUAUACAUUUUUUUCAGCACCACACCACACCUACUCCAAAAUUGACCACGUAGUUGGAAGUAAAGCACUCCUCAGCAAAUGUAAAAGAACAGAAAUUAUAACAAACUGUCUCUCAGACC
ensembl:lncRNA novel transcript